AGGACGAACGCUGGCGGCGUGCUUAACACAUGCAAGUCGAGCGGUAAGGCCCUUUCGGGGGUACACGAGCGGCGAACGGGUGAGUAACACGUGGGUGACCUGCCCUCAGCUCUGGGAUAAGCCCGGGAAACUGGGUCUAAUACUGGAUAUGACUCCACGGUGCAUGCCGUGGGGUGGAAAGCCUUGUGCGGCUGAGGAUGGGCCCGCGGCCUAUCAGCUUGUUGGUGGGGUGAUGGCCUACCAAGGCGACGACGGGUAGCCGGCCUGAGACGGGCGACCGGGCCACGACUGGGACUGAGACACGGCCCAGACUCCUACGGGAGGCAGCAGUGGGGAAUCUUGCGCAAGUGGGCGAAAGCCUGACGCAGCGACGCCGCGUGAGGAUGGACGGCGUUCGGUUCGUAACCUCUUCAGCUCCGACGAGCGAGAGUGACGGUAGGAGCGAGAAGAGCGACCGCAACGUACGCGCCAGCAGCCGAC
rnacentral:rRNA from 1 species